GGGCCCGCACAAGCGGUGGAGUAUGUGGUUUAAUUCGAUGCAACGCGAAGAACCUUACCAGGGUUUGACAUCCUGCGAAUCUCUUGGAAACGAGAGAGUGCCUUCGGGAACGCAGUGACAGGUGGUGCAUGGCUGUCGUCAGCUCGUGUCGUGAGAUGUUGGGUUAAGUCCCGCAACGAGCGCAACCCACGUCUUUAGUUGCCAGCAUUUAGUUGGGCACUCUAGAGAGACCGCCGGUGAUAAACCGGAGAAGGUGUGGAUGACGUCAAGUCAUCAUGCCCCUUACAUCUGGGCUACACACGUACUACAAUGCUACGGACAAAGGGCAGCAAACUCGCGAGAGCUAGCAAAUCCCAUAAACGUGGCUC
rnacentral:rRNA from 1 species